rnacentral:rRNA from 1 species
CCUGCCCAGUGAAUUUUAAACGGCCGCGGUAUCCUAACCGCGCGAAGGUAGCAUAAUCACUUGUUCUUUAAAUGGGGACUCGUAUCAACGGCAUCACGAGGGUUUUACUGUCUCCUCUUUUUGAUCAGUGAAAUUGAUCUUCCCGUGAAGAAGCGGGAAUAUUUUUAUAAGACGAGAAGACCCCAUGGAGCUUUAAACCAAAUAACAACUUAACUACUUAUCCCACAAUAAAUUUAAGCCCUGUUAUAAGGUUUUUGGUUGGGGUGACCGCGGAGUAAAGCACAUCCUCCACGACGGAAAGAACAUAAUCUUUAUUUAAGAACCACACUUCUAGAAAUUAGUAUACUAACGUUUACUGACCCGACAAUCGAUCAACGGACCAAGUUACCCUGGGGAUAACAGCGCAAUCUACUUCAAGAGCUCAUAUCGACAAGUAGGCUUACGACCUCGAUGUUGGAUCAGGGUAUCCCGGUGGUGCAGCCGC